rnacentral:rRNA from 1 species
UAACGCGUGAGAAUCUACCCAUGAGUGGGGGACAACCCGGGGAAACUCGGGCUAAUACCGCAUACGCCCUACGGGGUAAAGCAGGGGACCUUCGGGCCUUGCGCUGAUGGAUGAGCUCGCGUCGGAUUAGCUUGUUGGUGAGGUAAAGGCUCACCAAGGCGACGAUCCGUAGCUGGUCUGAGAGGAUGAUCAGCCACACCGGGACUGAGACACGGCCCGGACUCCUACGGGAGGCAGCAGUGGGGAAUCUUGGACAAUGGGGGCAACCCUGAUCCAGCCAUGCCGCGUGUGUGAAGAAGGCCUUCGGGUUGUAAAGCACUUUCAGCAGGGAGGAAGGCUUACCCCUAAUACGGGUGAGUACUUGACGUUACCUGCAGAAGAAGCACCGGCUAAUUUCGUGCCAGCAGCCGCGGUAAUACGAAAGGUGCAAGCGUUAAUCGGAAUUACUGGGCGUAAAGCGCGCGUAGGCGGUGUGUUAAGUCGGAUGUGAAAGCCCAGGGCUCAACCUUGGAAUUGCAUCCGAUACUGGCACGCUAGAGUGCAGUAGAGGGGAAGGUGGAAUUUCCGGUGUAGCGGUGAAAAUGCGUAGAGAUCGGAAGGAACACCAGUGGCGAAAGGCGGCCUCCUGGACUGACACUGACGCUGAGGUGCGAAAAGCGUGGGGGAGCAAACAGGAUUAGAUACCCUGGGUAGUUCCACGCUGUAAACGAUGUCUACUAGCCGGUCGGGGGUCCCUUAGUGACUUUGGGUGGGCGCAGCUAAACGGCGAUAAAGGUAGACCCGCCCUGGGGGGAGUUACGGGCCGCAAGGUUAAAACUCAAAUGAAUUGACGGGGGCCCGCACAAGCGGUGGAGCAUGUGGUUUAAUUCGAUGCAACGCGAAGAACCUUACCAGGUCUUGACAUCCUCGGAACUUGGCAGAGAUGCCUUGGUGCCUUCGGGAGCCGAGUGACAGGUGCUGCAUGGCCGUCGUCAGCUCGUGUCGUGAGAUGUUGGGUUAAGUCCCGUAACGAGCGCAACCCUUGUCCUUAGUUGCCAGCACGUCAUGGUGGGAACUCUAGGGAGACUGCCGGUGACAAACCGGAGGAAGGUGGGGACGACGUCAGGUCAUCAUGGCCCUUACGACCUGGGCUACACACGUGCUACAAUGGCUGGUACAGAGGGUUGCGAAGUCGCGAGGCGAAGCUAAUCCCUUAAAGCCAGUCGUAGUCCGGAUCGGAGUCUGCAACUCGACUCCGUGAAGUCGGAAUCGCUAGUAAUCGCGGAUCAGAAUGCCGCGGUGAAUACGUUCCCGGGCCUUGUACACACC